UUUUUAUUAUUAUUUUUCUCUUUUUAGGACUUAAAUACUAUCUACUCCUUCCUUCAUGGGCUGGACAUACUCUCACACUUCAGGGAGCAUCAGCUGAGAAUAAUGUCAUCCAGCGCUCGCUAUGAGAGGUACAAAGGCAACCAAGUUCUCUUUUGUUCGGAAACUAUUGCAAGAUGCUGGUACAUACUGCUUUCUGGGUCUGUGCUCAUGAAGGACUCCAUGUUUUUACCACCUUGCAGGUAGGUGAAAUUGUAGUUGGUUGUUUUUUCCAGGUCAAGUCAAGAUCUGUUUUCAAACCAAUGUUGAUGCUACUGUAACUUUUUUUUUUAAUACAAUUUUUAAGAUCAUUUUUCUUUUUUUUUUUUCCCCGAAGUUGGGCAGUGGCCAAAAAUGUUCUGCUAACUUCAUUUAAAUCCCUUCCACCCUUCGUUCAUUAACACCAACCACCAAGUCUUGCCUGGCUGAAUUUUUUUAGUUUGAGAGAAUUUGUAUUUGGCUUAUUAACUCAGGGGCCUUUUGAAUCACUCCUUCUCCAUGACUGUUUUUUUGUAAAGGUCCUUGUCUCAAAAACACUGCUGUAGAUCAUGCAGUUUCUGUCCUUGGUUUGAGGCUGUAUUUUAAUGGCUUCUGUGAUUUCUGUGUGAAGGAAGUGAAUAGAGGCCAGCAGUGUUGGUUCCCGAGAGCUGCAGCACAGGAAGUGCUGGGAUGUGCUUGAACUGAGGCUUGAUAUCUCACUUGAGCUGGACCUUGCUGUGCUGUGAUGCUGUGCUUGACCUUGUGCAUCACGCAGUGUUUGUUUCAUUGUAUCUUGAAAGUGUGCUGCUAGGAUAGGCAGGAGUG